rnacentral:lncRNA from 1 species
CCUCCUCCGCCACGCCCUCCCCUCCCUCCCCUCCGGUCCCCUCUCUCCUCGCCUCCUCCAUCGCCUCCCUCCCCUCACACGCCCUCUCUGCCCCCUCCCUCUCCCAGCCGGCGAACUUAUCCUCUCCUUUCAUCCUCCUCCUCCUCCCUCCAUCCUCCUCCUCUCUGAUCCGUAUGCAAAGCACUAGCCAGGAGCGGCGAGCAGCGGCGGCGCCCUCCCCUCUGCCGGAUCCAGUGUCCCCUCCAUUGGAUCCGGCAGGAAGAGAGGUGGUAGGCGGCGGCAGGCAGCAGCGGCACCCUCCCCUCUGCCGGAUCCGGCAGGAGGGGAGGCGGCAGGCGGCGGCGGCCUCCCCUCCCCUCCAACGAGUAAGAAGGUGGAGCAGAGAAGCCCGUUGGCCAGCCCCUCCCCUCAUCUCCCCAGUCUCUAUUGUAGAUUUUUUUAUAGAUGUUUUUGUGAAUUUGUAGAUGAUUUUGUUGUUGAGUAUGUUCAUUCAAUCUAUGGUGUCAAUUUGAUGUGGUGAUUUGGGGAUGUCGGGAGCAACACGAUGUGGGGCAUGGCAUGGUGACAGCGUUGGUGAGGCCAGCUCGAUUCGAGCCGGCUCUUUUUUUUUUUUGGCUCGUGCGAAUCUACAGGUGCUGGUUCUAUUUUUCGCAUAGGUGCUGGUUUUUCUAUUGGUGCCGAUUAAUUGGUGCCGGAUGAAAUUCCUAUACUUCUGAACCCUUGCAAACCGGCACCUAUGCCAUAUUUGUAGCAGUGCCAAGUUGGUUAAGGGAGGAGGAGGAGCACCUUGGUGGCACCGGGGUCAGGGUUAGGAUAGUCCUUGUAGAUAAAUGUUCAAACAUGGUUCCGAUUUUUGGUUUUCAAAAUUUGGGAAUAUUCAAAAGCGCACUUUGUCCCUGGAAAGGCUCAUCAACUGACGACUAACGUUGACGCGUGAGUGCAAGUCUUUCACGGCUCGGCGCACCCUAUAUUGUCUAUCUGAUGCAAUUGCGCAUGUAGGAGAUCACUCUCAGACGAAGCAACCUCCCGACGAAAAGACUACUUAGAGCAGGUAUAAUAGCAGGCUAUAAGCCAGCUGUAAACAUAUUUUAAACAGAUAAAUAAGGAGAGAGAAGGACAGUGAGCUACAGAUUUAUAGCCAGCUGUAACACGGACUCCAAGACGUAGUGUGUGUAUGAUAGGUGAGACCAGAUAUUAAUAGUGUAGUAUGUAACUAUUGUAUGAAUGAGCUAUUAGAUUGGCUAUAGAUGAAUUGGAGCUAGUAGUUGGCUAUACUAUUAAACUUGCUCUUAGAGCAGGUAUAAUAGCAGACUAUAAGCCAGCUGCAAACAUAUUUUAAGAAGAUAAAUCAGGAGAGAGAAGAGCAGCGGACUACAGAUUUGUAACCAGCUGUAGCACGGACUCCAAGACGCAGUGUGUCUAUGACAGGUGGGACUAGGUAUUAAUAGUGUAGUAUGUAACUAUUGUAUGAAUGAGCUAUUAGAUUGGGCAUAGAUGAAUUGGAGCUAGUAGUUGGCUAUACUAUUGAACUUGCUCUUAGGCACACAUUUACA